AUUGGAGGGGAAAAAAAACGCAGCAUAAACCUCAACUUUAGCAAAGAACUUAAGGGGAGGACGCUGAGCAGGGUGCUAGGCCUCGAGCCCCCAGACUCACCUCAGGACGGGGGCAGCGGGCGGGAGCCGUGGGGAGGCGACGGCCCCACGAGGCACAGAGGGACGAGGGGCUAUUUUAGGCCCCCUCAAAGCUUCAGCCCAUCGCAACCCCCCCCCCCCCAUCAUCAAGGUCCCGGCCCGGGAGGGGCUUCUGGUCCCCUGUGGGACCCCCACCUCCUCCCUCAGCCCCGAGGGACCCCGCCCGGCCUUCCCCUCAGGGAACCCGAGGGGCUCCCCCCGGGCUGUACCACCCCCUCGGCCACACGAGCCGCCCCCGCCGCGUGGUACGGUCCAGCCUACCUCUCGGCGCCCUCACUUCACCCUCCCGGCGGAGCCGCGGUGCCGGCGCCCGCUGCGAGUGGCUGGGGGGGGCGCAGUUGGUUUGUUCCGAAAAGCCGGCCGGUCUUCUACCCUAAACCGCUGGAUCUCUCACGUCUUCGGCCAUUUCCGACCGAACUGGCGGAAGUUGCCGAAGUGGCGGCGGAACUUAACGGCCUGUUCCGAAGGGCGAGCGGAGAGAGCCGAACCGCUGACGGAGAUAGCCGAAGGGCUGAAGGGGCGGGGGCCGGGACGGCGAAGGAGGGGACUUCUCUCCGGAAACUACCGAGAAGAGCCGAAGUGCCGCAGGAGGCGGAGUACCGCCGCCCUCCCUUCCAGAGGGGCACGCCGGCCAUCGCGCAUGCGCACUGCGCGGAGGCGCUUUUCCCGCCUAAAGGGGGGCACGUGCUGCCUUGCCCGCUCUCCUCAACGAGAAGCUGCCAUUAUGGGUCCGUGUCCUCUCAGUGCCCCACAGAGCCCUUGUGUGAGCAAACACACCCCAGGCUUUAUCCACAGCACACGAAUUGGCUUCAGCCAUACCCCAGCACCUCUGCAAGGCUGAGGGUACACACACGGAGUUCAGCCUUGUGGUGAAACCACCAUGGGGACUGCAAAGGUGGGGACUGCAAAGGUUGGCACUGACCCCCUGGAGAGAUGUCCAGAUGGCUCCUGGCAAAAGGGGUUAUGCAAACCACUAUCACUGCACAAAAGUGAUGUAAAAAAAGCGUUCCCGGUUUUAACUUUUUUUUUUCUUAACAGCAUUUACAUUGCCAACAGCACUUAGUAAGAGCAGCAACAUCAAAUUUAUGCUGACAAGUACCAAACAUACCAGGGAAAAGAUGGUGAUUGAAGCACAAGAAUUAGGAAAGAAAAAAAAAAACACAACAAAGCAGUGGGGAAAUAAGGGGGAGAAAAAAGGCAAGGAAUGGCGGCAGCCAUCAUCCUACAAGAAAGCCAAGUCCAACAGCUUCAGUACUUUUUAUUACUUUAUGCACUUUCAUUUUACAUAUAUAUUAGAGCCCCAUAAAGGCCUUCAUAUCUGUGCGUAUCAAGUCUCACCCCGAAACACAAAACCUGGCAGCUUGUGGGUGACUGGGGAAUCUGAGAGAAGAAACAGAUUUAUCUCCAUAGCAGCGGGAAGGGUGGCAACUGUGGCAUAUCUCCAGGAAUCUCUGCUUUAAUAAAAUAUGAGCACUUUAAAACUGCGAGAAACCA
ensembl:lncRNA